rnacentral:lncRNA from 7 species
AUUUUCCCACUAAUUCUGCCCUCGAAGUGGGGCAGCCCUAAGGAACCAGCCAGGCAGGAGAAGCAGAUUUCGGUGUGAUUUAUGACUGGCUGCAGGCUGCUUGGGGAAGCAGUGCAGCUGAUUCUGACUGAGACUUUUGUUUAGGACUGCAACUCAGCCAGGUGAGGACACCAAAUGGGCAGCCCAGCACUCCCACCUUCCUGUGAGCACCUCACCACCGCGUUCUGAAACAGGUGUGUGGUGCCUGGUCACCCCAUGGAGCUCUCGCCUCCUUCUGGGCUAUCACUGCACCUGCUCUACUCUAGACAACUUCAUUCAGAAUCUGCUGUUGCCUUUUCCAUGACGGACUCAUGGCUACUGCAUCAGCACAGAGGUGAAAUAGACCAGAGGAGCCAUUCAGUCACCUACGCAGCAUCACUGCAGAUGAGCUUACAGUUGGUCUGCUGGAGAACCUGUGGACUGAAAGGUUACUCCCCAGCAGUAUUAAACCAAAAAUAAACUAGUGAUUUUCCUGAGCAAGAGAGUGAGGUGCAGUAUAACUUCAGGAAAUACCAGGCUCCUCAGAUGAAACCAUCAUACCCUUUUUAUGCAGAAAUUUCACACAAACUUAUCUUGAACAACUUGAAGUGUUAGGGUUUUUGCACUACAAUGAUGGUAUAGCUACGUCAGAUAAAACAGAAAAAUGUAUUUUAUAUUCAUAUGUAUUACUUAAUACAAGUGCUAUUCCAACCACGCUGCUCAUCCCAGGAACUCAAGUAAUCCACAUCCUCAUGGGAGAAAUUGAAGUCUGGACCAACCCUAGUGCACCUCCCACUCCCAUCCUUGGAGCAAGACAUUCUUCCAUUUUUCUUCAAACUGUAAAUGCUGUAUGAAGCACCAUAACAGAAUAUAUUGCUCCUGCUUUGCUCCAUAACAUCUUAGUAUGUUUCCUGACCACUCCACAAAGAUAUUCCUUCUCUGUGACAACUCUGAGAAGUCAUUCUCUAUGACUGUUGUUUGGAAAUUACUACCUAAGGGAUCAGAAAAUUCAUUUCCAAUGGAUGGGACAGCCUAAAUCUUCAUAAAUUCUGUGAACUUUGCAACUCUGUUACAGACCCAGUUGAACGUCUGGAUGUCUCACAACUUGGACAAAUUCAACAAUACAGUCUUUAAUAAUUAUGGUGCUUGGAGAAAUCCCAAGGUCAUAUCAGUGACCUAUAGGACCCAGAAGCAGAGGAAAAACAUACCAUGGGCAAAAAACAAGCUUACAGGUGGGGGUGACCUUCACAGAAUCACUGAACGGCUUGCAAUGGGAGGGACUUCAAGGAUCAUCAUGUUCCAGCACCCCUGCUGCAGGCAAGGUUGCCAACCACUGGGUCAAGUACUAGAUCGGAUUGCCCAGGGCCCUGUCCAACCUGGCCUUGAACACCUCCAGGGAUGGGGCAUCCACAGCGCUGUGCACACAUAGCUGUGUGCUGAAGCUCCUGCUGCUGCAGGUUGAUGGACGUGUCAGAAAUGGGGCAAUGACCCUUCAAGGAUAUUACAACAGCUAUCAGAUCUGGCUGAGGUUCUUGUGCUAUAGUUUAACUCAUGACCUAAAUACUUCCCUAUCAUCAAAUACAAGAGAUUUCAGUGGCUUGUGAGGAAAUUCUGCCAGUAAUUCCUCCAGAAAAGGAAGUAGCUGUUCAGGAUCUCAUGACCUACAUUGUGAACUCAACUCAUUGCAUUACUGAAAGUACUUGUUUGUAGAGAUUGUUUUUCUAUUUACUAUUCUAAACAGAGGAAAUUCUUUGCUGUUUUCUGUCUUUGUAACAUUUUUUUUGGAAGAUUCAUUUAUUUUUUCUUUCUCAUUGUUUGUAUGUUCUGUCUGAGGCACAGAAAAAAAUUCAAAACAAUGUCUUUUCCUUUUUAAUAUGACAUACUAUUAUUCAAGAGACUCUCAUUUAUGUGCACUUGGGACUCUAGUGCUAAGCUACAGUGCUUUGAAAAUGGCCACAGAUGCAGAGUUCCUGAGUUUUAGGUGUCUCAUUUGACUCAGAUAUGUUGGAUUCUCAGAUGAUUAUACAGUGAUCAGUCAUGUCCUAGGCAUUUUGUUUGCUGAAACAUCCUGCAGUCAACUAUUUGAACUAAAAAGUCCUAACAUUUGAUAACAUUUGAGAGUAUACUUCUGUCUUUUCGAACUGCAAUUUGUCCAAAACCUGAGUAGUAGUAGUAGUAGUAUCAAGUAGUAAAUUUGCCAGUUAUUUU